rnacentral:rRNA from 1 species
GCAAAACGCGAAGAACCUUACCAGGUCUUGACAUCCCAGUGACCACUAUGGAGACAUAGUUUCCCCUUCGGGGGCAACUGUGACAGGUGGUGCAUGGUUGUCGUCAGCUCGUGUCGUGAGAUGUUGGGUUAAGUCCCGCAACGAGCGCAACCCUUAUUCUUAGUUGCCAUCAUUCAGUUGGGCACUCUAAGGAGACUGCCGGUGAUAAACCGGAGGAAGGUGGGGAUGACGUCAAAUCAUCAUGCCCCUUAUGACCUGGGCUACACACGUGCUACAAUGGACGGUACAAACGGUUGCCAACCCGCGAGGGGGAGCUAAUCCGAUAAAACCGUUCUCAGUUCGGAUUGUAGGCUGCAACUCGCCUACAUGAAGCCGGAAUCGCUAGUAAUCGCGGAUCAGCAUGCCGCGGUGAAUACGUUCCCGGGUCUUGUACACACCG